GAACAGUCAUGCUAUCCAGGAAAACACAGCCUUCAAAAUGAUGGCAUCGGCGUCACACUGCUGCGCUCAGGAGACUGUUCCUUAGGAAAUGCUGCGGUUUUGAGCUCAGAUGGAUGCCCAGUUCCACACCGAGUCCACCCACCAGUCAGAUAGAGCCAGCCUGGAAGACAGCAAGAGAAAGGUUCACCUGGAGGUGAAGCAAGUUCCCCUUGAGGAGGUCCUUUCCAACCCAAAGCAUUCUGCAAUUCCAUGAAACAGAAAGCAGCAGCAGCAGUGUUCCAUGAGAAUGCAGACUAACUGAAAAAUAAUCAGCACUACAGAGAAGAUGAUGCUGGCAAAAUGCACACCUCCCUCCACGACCUUUUCAUCAGGACAGCUACACUGACACUGCAGCAGUGAUUCACCAGUGACUGCACAUCAAAGGUCUGGGAUCUUCUGUCUGACCUCAUAAAAU